UGUACUUAUUGGGUACUUUUUGCUUAUUGGGUAUACCCAAUAAGAAGUGUCGCUGAAUAUGCUUAAAACACCCUAAUUGGGUAUUCGCAGGUUAGUACCCAACAAAACUUGGACAUGACGAUUUGUCCAAAAAAAGUGUCCAAAAAAGUUGCUUUCACGGACGCACCGUGUUUUGUGUUUCAGUUUUACAUUCGGAACUCUAAAUUCUCGAGAGUUCCGAAAAUCAACUUCCGUUGAUCCUGAUCAUAACAACGUUUGUUUUCAUGGAAAAAAAUAUGGCGACUAAGAAACACUUAAUGUCAACAAGAUUGUCUGAUUGACAAGAGAAAAGGUCAAACAGGAACUUCAGUUGUGAACAUUGCAGAGAACACACUCAUCAGAAGGUGACCCUCAGAAAUAGGACAAUCAAUGAAUAAAAAGGACAGAGGCAGAUUUGAAGGAGAUGCAUGAAAUGAGGAAUAUUUCAAAAAUUGCCUGAGCACAACCACUGCUACUGGAUAAACAUAUGGCAAUAUAAAAGAGCAGGGUCAAUGGAGGUAUCAUACA